CCGGCCCCACCAGGCGGCACAGGGCUGGCCGACCCCAGCAGGGAGCUCAUUUACCUUUCGAGGCCGGUAGCAAGAGAGAUCUUUUACCAGGCUUGACUGUUUUUAAAAUGCAGAAUUCACAGAGGGAGCAAUAGGAUAAACUCACAUAAUAGCCUGAUAACAACAAACAGAACCCUUGAAUAAAUGUAAUUUUGAAGCUCCCUACUAAUGAUUUCUCCUGUAAAUCUGUUGCUGUCCUUGGAUUAUAUCUGGGUAUCAGGAUAUGGACCACCUCUGAAGAAAGUAGCUGUCCUGCACCAAUUUCCCAGGGAACUACUGUGGAAACAUGAGAAAUGUCAUUCAAUAAAAGUGAAACUAUGGGUACCUAAGCUCUUUAAGUAUGUAGAUUUCUUUGUUAAUGAUUUUUAUAUCCCAUGGCAAAGACUUGCUCCACCCCAUCACAGCAACAUAAACAGAACAUGUAAUGCUGAAUAACCAUGUUAACAUCAUAAUAUUUUUUUUAAAAAAAAUGUUUUUGCUGUGUUUGCUGAUAUUUUAUAGCCAGACUAGA